AUUCCGGAGAGGGAGCCUGAGAAAUGGCUACCACAUCCAAGGAUGGCAGCAGGCGCGCAAAUUACCCACUCCCAGCUUGGGGAGGUAGUGACGAAAAAUAACAAUGCGGGACUCUAAGAGGCCCCGUAAUUGGAAUGAGUACACCUUAAAUCGUUUAACGAGUAUCAAUUGGAGGGCAAGUCUGGUGCCAGCAGCCGCGGUAAUUCCAGCUCCAAUAGCGUAUAUUAAAGUUGCUGCAGUUAAAAAGCUCGUAGUUGAAUCUGGGGCUUGAGGUCGCUGUCUAUCGUUUCGGCGAUGACGGUGAUGCUCAGCUCAGCUUGCCGGUGACUGUUGCGGUGUUCUUCACUGAGCGCUGUAGCAGCACGGCACGUUUACUUUGAAAAAAUUAGAGUGCUCAAAGCGUGCUUGUCGCUUGAAUAAUGUUGCAUGGAAUAAUGGAAUAGGACCUCGGUUCUAUUUUGUUGGUUUUCGGAGCUUGAGGUAAUGAUUAAGAGGGACGAACGGGGGCAUUCGUAUUGCGGUGUUAGAGGUGAAAUUCUUGGAUCGCCGCAAGACGGACUACUGCGAAAGCAUUUGCCAAGAACGCUUUCAUUAAUUAAGAACGAAAGUCAGAGGUUCGAAGACGAUCAGACACCGUCCUAGUUCUGACCAUAAACGAUGCCGACCAGCGAUCCGUAGUGGUUGCUUUAUGGACCCUACGGGCAGCCUCCGGGAGACCAAAGUAUUUGGGUUCCGGGGGAAGUAUGGUUGCAAAGCUGAAACUUAAAGGAAUUGACGGAAGGGCACACCAGGAGUGGAGCCUGCGGCUUAGUUUGACCCAACACGGGAAAACUCACCCGGUCCGGACACCGUAAGGAUUGACAGACUGAUAGCUCUUUCUUGAUUCGGUGGAUGGUGGUGCAUGGCCGUUCUUAGUUGGUGGAGUGAUUUGUCUGGUUAAUUCCGAUAACGAACGAGACUCUAGCCUGCUAAGUAGUGUUGCUAUUGUUAUAUGGUUGACACUUCUUAGAGGGACAAGUGGCAUUUAGCCACGCGAAAUUGAGCAAUAACAGGUCUGUGAUGCCCUUAGAUGUCCGGGGCCGCACGCGCGCUACACUGGAGAAGUCAGCGUGUGUUAUCCAAGUCCGAAAGGACUGGGUAAUCCGUUGAACCUUCUUCGUGCUUGGGACUGUGGCUUGGAACUAUUCCACAUGAACGAGGAAUUCCUAGUAAUUGCAAGUCAUAAGCUUGCGUUGAUUACGUCCCUGCCCUUUGUACACACCGCCCGUCGCUACUACCGAUUGAAUGGUUUAGCAAGGUCCUCGGAUCGUGGCCGUAGGGGCACGCAAGUGUUUCUGCGGUUUGCGAGAAGACGACCAAACUUGAUCAUUUAGAGGAAGUAAAAGUCGUAACAAGGUU
rnacentral:rRNA from 1 species